GUGGCUAAGGACGGUGCAGAUGGACAGAGUUUGCUCAGCUGCACCUGUUGAGGGACCUCAGGCCGCGUCCCAUGAUUGGUGCCUGUGAACGGAGCUGCGGGGACACUGGUGGUGGACCUAAAAGACUCCUUAAAUGUGAGAAUUGAGAGGAAGGAUGGAUACAUAUCCUGUAACCUAUAAAAGGAGGUCAAGACAACCUUGGACCAAGAAUCCAGUGACUGGAAGAUAGAAUUCCCCAAUUGCCUUCACUUAUUAGGAAAGGGGGAAUAAGUGGGGAGCUGCCACACAGGACCCGAGCGCCCUUAGCCCUGAGCGAUGCGAGAGUGGAGGUGUGGCCAGCCGCCCUGGGCUGUGUGUGAACUGUGGGCACUGAGGGCACAGGGUGGACAGACCCGACGUGGGCCCUCUGUUAGAGCCUCGCUCUGGUCUUUUCGCGCGCCCUGCCUUGAUCCCCACACAGCUCAUGAGAUGGGCGUCGCCUCCCCAGGUGUCAGUCAACCGCUGACAGCAGACAUCAGGAAGCUGGACUCAACCCCCUGACCCCUGACCCCUUCUCUCAUUUGAGUGGCCUCUCCCCAAUAAAAGGGUUCAGUGUGGCUCCUCGCUGUCUUUCUUGCCCGCCUCGUGGCAGCUGUGGCUGAGGAGCCGUCACUGAACCCAAAGAAAAGGUA